GUAAAAAUGGGAAAAGGGCCCGAAAAAUGGGAAAAUGGCCCCAAAAAAUGGGAAAAUGGCCCCAAAAAAUGGGAAAAUGGCCCCAAAAAUGGGAAAAUGGCCCCAAAAAAUGGGAAAAUGGCCCCAAAAAAAUGGGAAAAUGGCCCCAAAAAAUGGGAAAAUGGCCCCAAAAAGUGAGGCCGGGAGGGGUCGGGAUGGGGCUGGGAUGGACGGAGGGGUGGACGGAUGGACAGAUGGACACUGGAUGGACAGACGGACAUUGGGAUGGAUGGAUGGACACUGGAUGGACAGAUGGACACUGGGUGGACACUGGAUGGACACUGGGAUGGACAGACGGACACUGGGACGGACAGACGGACACUGGGUGGACACAGGGACGGACAGACGGACACUGGGACGGACAGACGGACACUGGGAUGGACCCUGGACGGACAGACGGACGCUGGGAUGGACACAGGGACGGACAGACGGACGCGGGGUCCCCGGCGCGUGGGGGGCGGGGCCGUGGGCGGGGGGCGGGGCCUCGGUUUUGCC
rnacentral:lncRNA from 1 species